rnacentral:lncRNA from 1 species
CUGGACUUGAAACCGUCAGUCUUUUCCUAGUAAUGAUACAUGCUUCUCUUUACAGUGGUGUUUAAUGACAUUCGUGACAAAAGGCAGAAGCAGUUUAUGACAACAUACAAGAUAACAAAAAAAAAUUUAAACAUCAAUUAUGAUGUGAUACAAGAUUUGGAAGUUAUACAUAUAUGAAGAUACAAGUGAUUCAAUGUAGUCAUUUGUAGCAAUAGAGUGCAAGGAAAAACAUAUUUUAUAAUAUCUAAGAAAACAACAAAGAUAUUAACAGAAACAUUAAUAUACAUAUAAGAAGAAUAUAGAAAUAAAUAUAUAAAGAUGAUCAUAUCAUCAUCAUAUCAUAUCAUAGCUCAAAAGAAGUCAGAUUUAAAGUUAGGAAGAAAAUCAACAUACAAUAUGAUAUUUAAAGAUGACUGUUCUCAAUCAUGAAUUGCCUGUUACAAUAUUUGUGGUAAACAUAUUAGCACAAAGUAAUAAACUUGGUAUAAAAGAACAAGAAAUAAUAUGUAAUAAGAAUUUAUACCAACAGAUACAUCAAAACAUUUUUUACAGUUUAGAUUUAUGUAAAAAAAAUUUGAGUGUAUCUAAUAAUUAUGAUAAAAUAAUAUUUGUAUACAUUGAUUGUAAGAAUAACGAAGACUAUGUUAGAAUAAUAACUCACUAAAAACUUUUAAGUUAAAA